ACGAACGCUGGCGGCGUGCCUCAUCCAUGCAAGUAGCACGCUGAAGGAGGAGCUUGCUUCUCCGGAUGAGUUGCGAACGGGUGAGUAACGCGUAGGUAACCUGCCUGGUAGCGGGGGAUAACUAUUGGAAACGAUAGCUAAUACCGCAUAACAGUAGAUGUUGCAUGACAUUUGCUUAAAAGGUGCAAUUGCAUCACUACCAGAUGGACCUGCGUUGUAUUAGCUAGUUGGUGAGGUAACGGCUCACCAAGGCGACGAUACAUAGCCGACCUGAGAGGGUGAUCGGCCACACUGGGACUGCGACACGGCCCAGACUCCUACGGGAGGCAGCAGUAGGGAAUCUUCGGCAAUGGACGGAAGUCUGACCGAGCAACGCCGCGUGAGUGAAGAAGGUUUUCGGAUCGUAAAGCUCUGUUGUAAGAGAAGAACGAGUGUGAGAGUGGAAAGUUCACACUGUGACGGUAUCUUACCAGAAAGGGACGGCUAACUACGUG
rnacentral:rRNA from 1 species